GCGUCAGUAGUGCAACGGGUUGAAGCACGCGUUUUCGGAUAUAAAAAGAUGAGGGUUCGAGUCUCGCCUGACGUA